UAUGCAAAAGGAAGCUGGGUUAUUAUCUGUAUGUGUUUUGGUUUUUUCUUUAAAGUUAUUUUUAACUAACAUGACAUUAGCAUUUGCACAUUUCAGCAAAAAAAAAAAAAAAAAAAAAAAAAAAAAACAAAAAAAAAAAAAACAAGAAAAUGACGCUUGUUCUAGUUUCUCCGGUCUCUGUAGUAAAUGUGAAACAAUGUAUCCAAAGAAGCGUGUGGAGGGAAGCCAUCUGUAAGAGCAGUUGUGAGGGCUGUUUAUUUACACAGACUCUUCUCCAGCGCCUUGGAUAGCUCCGGGCCAGACAUGAGCUCAUCUUCUUGUCUUCCUCCAGCCUUCUCCCAUGGGUCCCCACCUCAGUAGUCAACACCAGCAUCCCACCCAGCUGUGAGAUCCUGUAUCUAGCCACCAACCCAUCCAUUGUUAUCUUCUAAGAACCUCUUGAGUCCAUCUGUGUCUCUUUAACUCUGCUUGUGUGGCCAGAGCCACGUGUUGACUUCUGUGGUCCCGAGGCACGUUCGUCUUCCUGGAUCUCUUCCAUCAUUAAAAUAAAACACUUCAAAUCAUGCUUUAUGGCAAGGAAGUGAGUGUCGACGCUGAAGGAAACUCAGCAAGGCUGGUCCAGUGCCUUCUCUGGAAAGGUGGCAGGAGCCUGAGGGAAUGUAC
rnacentral:lncRNA from 1 species